UAACCUGCCUGUAAGACUGGGAUAACUCCGGGAAACCGGGGCUAAUACCGGAUGCUUGAUUGAACCGCAUGGUUCAAUCAUAAAAGGUGGCUUUUAGCUACCACUUGCAGAUGGACCCGCGGCGCAUUAGCUAGUUGGUGAGGUAACGGCUCACCAAGGCGACGAUGCGUAGCCGACCUGAGAGGGUGAUCGGCCACACUGGGACUGAGACACGGCCCAGACUCCUACGGGAGGCAGCAGUAGGGAAUCUUCCGCAAUGGACGAAAGUCUGACGGAGCAACGCCGCGUGAGUGAUGAAGGUUUUCGGAUCGUAAAACUCUGUUGUUAGGGAAGAACAAGUACCGUUCGAAUAGGGCGGCACCUUGACGGUACCUAACCAGAAAGCCACGGCUAACUACGUGCCAGCAGCCGCGGUAAUACGUAGGUGGCAAGCGUUGUCCGGAAUUAUUGGGCGUAAAGCGCGCGCAGGCGGUUUCUUAAGUCUGAUGUGAAAGCCCCCGGCUCAACCGGGGAGGGUCAUUGGAAACUGGGGAACUUGAGUGCAGAAGAGGAGAGUGGAAUUCCACGUGUAGCGGUGAAAUGCGUAGAGAUGUGGAGGAACACCAGUGGCGAAGGCGACUCUCUGGUCUGUAACUGACGCUGAGGCGCGAAAGCGUGGGGAGCGAACAGGAU
rnacentral:rRNA from 1 species